rnacentral:RNase_P_RNA from 1 species
AGUCUGAGAUGACUAUAGUGAUUGUGUGAGUAUAUAAGAAAUAAAACUCAACGACUAGUUCUACUAGUUGAUGGCGGAGAACUUUUCUAAAUAAGCCAAAGGCUUACAUGAGUAAUUCUCUGUAAAGUGCCACAGAGACGAGCUUUAUAGAAAUAUAGAGAGUGAAACGAGGCAAACCCCGCAAGUA